GUGGGGAGCGAACAGGAUUUAGAUACCCUGGUAGUUCCACGCCCGUAAACGAUGAGUGCUAAAGUGUUAGGGGGUUUCCGCCCCUUUAGUGCAGCAGCUAAAGCAUUAAGCCCUCCGCCUGGGGAGUACGGUCGCAAGACUGAAACUCAAAGGAAUUGACGGGGGCCCGCACAAGCGGUGGAGCAUUUUGGUUUAAUUCGAAGCAACGCGAAGAACCUUACCAGGUCUUGACAUCCUUUGACAAUCCUAGAGAUAGGACGUCCCCUUCGGGGGCAGAGUGACAGGUGGUGCAUGGUUGUCGUCAGCUCGUGUCGUGAGAUGUUGGGUUAAGUCCCGCAACGAGCGCAACCCUUGAUCUUAGUUGCCAGCAUUCAGUUGGGCACUUUAAGGUGACUGCCGGUGACAAACCGGAGGAAGGUGGGGAUGACGUCAAAUCAUCAUGCCCCUUAUGACCUGGGCUACACACGUGCUACAAUGGACAGAACAAAGGGCAGCGAAACCGCGAGGUUAAGCCAAUCCCACAAAUCUGUUUUCAGUUCGGAUCGCAGUCUGCAACUCGAUGCGUGAAGCUGGAAUCGCUAGUAAUCGCGGAUCAGCAUGCCGCGGUGAAUACGUUCCCGGGCCUUGUACACACC
rnacentral:rRNA from 1 species